CCUCCUGGUGUCACUUCAUCCUGGAUUCCUCUUAUUCUGAUAUUAUUUCUCCUUGCUCUAUCUUCAUUAUCGGUAAUCCUGACUUCCUAUAACGCAAUUUUCUUUUCCAUCUGUAAGAUCUUUUCUUCCUGUAGCCCUUGUUGUACUUUUGAAUGCUCAAUUUGAUCUUCGAUUGAAUUAACUUUUGCCGUUAUUUUGGAUAUCUCCAAUUUAAAGUCAUCC